rnacentral:rRNA from 1 species
UGGCAAACGGGUGCGUAACGCGUAAGGAACCUGCCCCUGAUUGGGGGAUAGCCCGGCGAAAGCUGGGGUAAACCCGCAUGGUUCAGUUGAAUGGCAUCAUUUGGCUGAUAAAUAUUUAUAGAUCAGGGAGGGUCUUGCGUCUGAUUAGGUAGUUGGGGGGGUAACGGCCCACCAAGCCGAUGAUCAGUAGGGGCUCUGAGAGGAGCGGCCCCCACAUGGACACUGAGACACGGGUCCAACUCCUACGGGAGGCAGCAGUAGGGAAUAUUGGGCAAUGGACGAGAGUCUGACCCAGCCAUGCCGCGUGCAGGAAGACGGCCCUCUGGGUUGUAAACUGCUUUUAUGGGGGAAGAACAGGCAGGAUGCGUCCUGUUGUGACGGUACCCGAUGAAUAAGCACCGGCUAACUCCGUGCCAGCAGCCGCGGUAAUACGGAGGGUGCAAGCGUUGUCCGGAUUUAUUGGGUUUAAAGGGUGCGUAGGUGGUAGAUUAAGUCUGGUUUGAAAGUUGGUCGCUUAACGAUCAAGGGUGGCUGGAUAC